rnacentral:rRNA from 1 species
UACAUGUGGGGCAAGCGUUUGUUCGGAAUUACUGGGCAUAAAAGGGUGCGUAGGUGGUUUUGUUAAGUCAGGGGUGAAAUCCCGCGGCCCAACCGUGGAACUGCCUUUGAUACUGGCGAACUUGAGUGCGUGAGGGGUAGGGGGAACGAGCAGUGUAGCGGUGAAAUGCGUAGAUAUUGCUCGGAAGGCCAGAGCCGAAGGGGCCCUACUGGUGCGCAACUGACACUGAGGCACGAAAGCGUGGGGAGCCAAACAGGG